GUCCCGACUUCCACAGCUCAUAGAUCCACAACUCUAGCUGCCUCUAUGCAAUCAGCAGUGGGGACCUGACCCACUUGUAAAGAAUCAGCAGCCAUGCCCCUUGUUUGAGAAGAGCAAUUGAAUGAGAAGAAUGCCACCGAGCUGAUGAAAAUGGCUAGCAUGAUCUUUGAAAAUGUAGCAGACUCUGUAACUAAAGAACACAAGCCUGAAAUGCUGAAACAAUGUGGAGAUAAACACCGAAGAAGGUUAAUUUACAUUUUCACAAUGUAAUGGGCUUUGGAAGAGAUCUCUUAUGGGUAUCAGCCACCCAGUCUCUCCUCAGGGCAGAAUCCAUGACGGCAGCUAGCCUGGCCACUUUACAUAUGGCAGUCAAGUCCCUUAAGAUGACUUCAGGGGAGGCAUAGAGCUCAUCAAGUUGAAAAUCCACCUCUGACCCUGAGGAAUGGAAAUGGGAGAAGACAACCCCCCACUCCCUCAGCAACCACAGCACUCCAGUAAAGGGACUGGCUUGGAUGUCUUCAUUCUCACAGGAGAGUCCUGUGGGGAUCAGCUGAAUGUCUUCACCUCCUUACAUGGGGGAAAGGAAACACAGACAAAUGGGCACAGACUCUCCAGUGGAUCUACAAAGCCUGCCAAUAUCAUCACUGUGUUCAAGAGGAUAAAGUACAGCCUUUCCAAGGAGCCAGCUAUCAUCUCCACUGCAUUGCAAAGCUGAAUUCAUUGCUUAUGAAUGAUGCCAGAUUGAUGGCAAUGCUGAAGACUAAAGUGUAUCCAGUGGUAUAACACAAGCAGGGCCGUAUAAAAUAUUCUCCAUUCCCCACUGAAUCCUGUGAGGAACCAUUGCAAAGAUCUGGCAGGACACCUUCUAAAGAUGAGAGGGUAGUAGAAUCUCCAUGCCAAAUCAGAUCUUGGACUCUCUAUUUAUACUCCAACACGAUGUCGCUUAGUGCCAAAUGUGAUCGUGUUUUCUGUUACGUGAACUAGAAACUGGACUUCGACAACCAAUUCAUCUCACAUAGGCCUCCGUCAGCUAUCAGACUGUAAUUGCUUUUAGUCUCUACUGACUUGGGCCAGAUUUGAACCAGCCACCUAGCUUGAAAGGCUCUGUAUCCACCAUCAAUCACGUAAAACAUCCAGUCCCCCAUGCAAUUUUGUUUCUCUAUCUAAUGUUUUUUUAAGACAGAACAUUCUACCUAAAGUGGAAUGCUCCACCAGGACAAAAAAAGCUAAUUUCCUUGUUAAUCCCCCACAUUUCUGAGAGUGGCACAAAAACCUUAAUAAACUAGUGACUUAUUUUCCUCCUCCCACUCAUGUUCUCCCUUCAUUCAGUACGCCAUUGACUAAGACUAUGUCUUCAUUGACAAAAAGGUGCAUUUUUGAAGUGAAAUGGCUAACUCAAGUUGCCAAUCUCACUGUAAAAUCCUAGUGGAGACAAGGCCCAGGUAGUUUUUACCUCACUAUAGCUAGUCAAGGUGAACUGCAGGUGAGGUUAUAGUGUUGACCUCAACAAGCAUUGGCAAUAAAGACAUAGCCUAACAGUGCUUCAAGACUGCUGGGAAAGUAAUGAUAUAUAAUCUCAGUCAACAGAGCUCCUCCCUCCGCCAAUGGAAUGAGGUUGUGCUAUUUAAACACAGCCCUGUGGAAAGGCAGUCAGAUGAGUAUGCUGACCAUGUAAUUAUAUGACAAAUUAAGAAUAGAGUAUAAGCCUUAACUUGCAUUUUCUUUAUUUUGUUUUUUAUGCUUAUGUUUAACUUAUGCCCCCAUCACUGUGUUAAUAAUAAAUAUCUUAGUGGUCAAAGUUAACACUACAUUUUAUUUUAUAUCAUGAUAUCCGCAAAAGUCAAUCAGCAGUCAACCAAUUCUCUGCUAGAUCUCAGAGGAGGGGCCAGGUAAUUCAAAUGAGGCACUGAGGGAAGUGGUACAAUUGUUUAUGUGGUGUUCCUGCCAUCUGACUCUGAAAAUCAUUGUCAGUGGAGGUUGGGAGAUAAGGAAUGGAAACAGGUUUGCAAUCCCCUCACAAAUUACUAUUAGCAUUCCCCUGGGGGGUUGUGAUCAAUAGACUGAGAACCACUUUAAAUCUAAGAAAUAAAUACUAUCCAAAUAGGAAGACUCACUCCAAGUACAACUACUGCAAUCCAGCUGUUUCCACAACUUCUAGAGCCUACCCUUGGUCUACAAGCACCUCCUUCAUCAUGCAUCAUAAGCACUGGCCUACCAUGAAGUUGCAUAAGGAAAUGAAGCAAUUGAGAAAGAACAUUGUAAUAUUCUGGGGAUAUGUCCUGGAUUCCUGGCGGGACUUUGGGACAACCAAUUAAGAGACUGUCUGCCACAUACCACUAAAGAAUCCCUUCUCCAGUUUUACAAUGAGCCCAGUGCAAGUUUUAAUCAGUCCUGGGUAAAUGCACAUACAGGCUCCAGUUCAAGAAAGAAGCCUUAUUGAGGAAAGCACUUAAGAAUGUGCUUAAAGUUAGGCAUGUACUUAAAUGUUUUUCAGAACAGAAAGAGACUUAAGCACAGUCAUGUUUCCCUGAAAUGGGGCCAUAGUGCAGACGCAAUUACUAAAACUUAUAUUAUGUACCUGAGUGUAUGAGCUCCCAGUCAUCUGGUACACAACAUGUAAAGGAGCAAUGGUUAGAGGGUUUUAGUUACAGCAUGGCUCUGUACAAAAGGACUUGCUUAGCCUACCUUGCCUUUUGACUGUAAUUUCCCCAAGCUUAGCUGCUUCCUUUAACAGUUCUGAGUUCUGCCCCAAAAACUAUUUGUGACAAUUCUUUUAGAUGCAAUAAAUCUAUUUUUUUUUCAAAAACUAUUGGUUUUCUAAAAGCUUUAUUCUCUUAAAACACUUUAUUUGCUCCAUCUUGAUUGCACAUCAGUGUAAUCUCACGUGAGUGACUAAUUUUUGUCUGACUUGCUCUAAAGGCUAGUGGGGAGAAAAUUGUGGUUGACUUUUGUGCAAUUCACUGCUUUUAGGGUCAAAAACGGUCCUUUUGGUGCACCCACAGCUCCCCUGGACUUCAAUUCGAGCUUUGGAGACACAGAAAUACAUGACUGAGUACUUGAUGAUAUCAUGAUUCUUUGUAAUAUGGUAUCAAUAAAUUUCUGCUCUGUAUAUAUUCAGUUAUAGUAACAAUACUUUGCUACCUAAAUAUGUAUUUAUAAUGUUUAGCACCUUUUCCUGGAGGAUCUCAAAGCACUUGACAAACAUUAAUUAACUAAGCCUUAUAAUACCCCUGUAAAAUGCUGUAGAGUAUUAUUAUAUCCAUUUUAAACACGAGUACACUGAGCAUAGAGCUGCUAAAAAUUAAAUGAUUCACCUUUGGUCAGGCAAUGAGUCAGUGUCAAGAAUAGAAUCCAGAUAUCCUAACUGCCAGUCCCCUGAUCUAACCACUGAACAACAAUUCUUCCUUCCAUACAUUUUUUAAGGUGCCAUUAUUUGAAAGUGGAUUAACAAGGUUUGUCUGUGUAUAGACAUAUAAAAAUAUGUCUAUACAGAUAGACAGGUGAGGAGUGUCAUACCAGAUAUAUUUUCACAGUUACAAUUUAACUCACAUGUAAAAAUGCAUGAAGUGGUGUAUUAUAUAAAGUUAUCUGGAAUAAGUGGUAAUAUUACUAAGAACACACCUUCCAUGCUGUUGUGCUAGAUGCUGUCCAAACAUACGAUAUGACACUAUCCCUGCCCUGAAGAACUGAUAUAUCUUAUCUGUUUAUUUAAGAUUGGAGGGGGUGAAUUUUAGUUUCCGAUAAUGAGAAAUCACAUCUACAUGGGGUUGAUACUUCUGAGCGCUACCAACUAGUCAUGUCUGUCCUGCCAUUUUCAAAGCAAUAGUGGCAGAGAUGCAAGUUGCUGAUUGUGCUCAGCAAGCCGGAUCAAUCACACAAAGGCAAGUUCUGUACAUUGUAGCCUAUAGGAUUAACCUGCUUGCUUGCAUAUAUAUAUAUUUUUCCUUAUAGUUUAAGUAUUUCGUUUAUUGUAAUAGGUUUAUAGAUUUAUAUUAAAGUAAGUUUGGCUGUAAUGCAAAAGACCUACAGGCCAUAUCCUGUAUGUUAAGCUAAGGCAAAGUUAGCAUAUCUAUAUUAAGACCUUUUUCCCAGAAAAGUAAAGUUGACUUAUAGCUUGUUACCUAAAUAGAUAAGUAUCUACACAUAUGUCGAGGACCUUUUAUCUAGACCGAUAGACAAUGAAGAAUGGCAUAGGGGAGUUUUCAAUUUGUAUCCAGAGACUUAACAGGUACACCAUAAGGAAACUUAUGUGUGUAUGUACAUGUCAUCAAUACGCACAUACAUACUAGCCUAUGGAGUAAGCAUACCCUAACAUUUUGUGUGUGAGGAAUGAAAUUUGGGCAUAGGAGGAAGGAUUUCCGGCACUUUUGCCCUAUAAAAGAGGUGACCCACCUCGCUAGAGUAUUCUUACUUAUUCUCACUUACUUCCUCCACUCUCUCUAUCUAUUCUAUCUAUCUAUGAUGACCGCUACUAUUAGUAGGCUGUACUUGUUCUUCUUAAACUUUAAGUUUCAAGGGAACUAGGCUAAGCUCGGUUUCCCUACGUUUUAUUCUUAGUUUAUUAGGUUUUGAUUUUAAGUUUAAGUUAGUCAAGUAAACCCUAAAUUAGAUUUGAUCAUUCUUAGCAUUAGUUUCCUCUAAGCACUGCAUCCCUCACUCAACAAUUGAGAAGCCUGAACUGCAAGGCUGGUCCUGUGUCUCUUACCACCAGGUUAUCAAGGAAGGGUGUGAGUAUAUUAACCAAAGCUUUGCUGCAUAUUAUCAUAUGUAUCUUUUGAAUAGCAGUAAUGCAAUUGUAACUUUGUAACUCUGGGUAGUUUACCAUUUACUUACUAUUUCAUUGAUUUUAAUAAAAAAGUCUUUACGACUA